CUCCUCGCUUGCGUUUCAGUUGCAGAAACACUGUUACAGGCCGCUCAAUCUUCAUCUUGUGAUAGGGGGGUGUCCGGAACACAAUGGCAUACUGUUUAUGCACAUCUGUGGGAGAGAAGUCCCCAAAGGCCUGCCAUCCAUUCUCAUCAUCCUCAUAGAACCGAACCUCAAUGUCAUCUUUCUGCACCUUGUCACAAAGCAGAUAAACUUCAUCUCCACCCCGC
rnacentral:lncRNA from 1 species